CACGUAGGGGCCAAGCGUUGUCCGGAUUUAUUGGGCGUAAAGAGCUCGUAGGCGGUUGGGUAAGUCGGGUGUGAAAACUCAGGGCUCAACUCUGAGACGCCACUCGAUACUGCUCUGACUCGAGUCCGGUAGGGGAGCGUGGAAUUCCCGGUGUAGCGGUGAAAUGCGCAGAUAUCGGGAGGAACACCAGUGGCGAAGGCGGCGCUCUGGGCCGGAACUGACGCUGAGGAGCGAAAGCGUGGGUAGCAAACAGG
rnacentral:rRNA from 1 species